UUGCUGAUACACCCCGUGGGGCCUGGUAAGCAGUGGCUGCAGACAGUGAGCAGCCUUCUUGGUAGUAUAUGCAGCCUGUGGCUUGUUUGGGCUGUAGUAAGGGAUCUCGGGGGCAGUC
rnacentral:snoRNA from 1 species